rnacentral:rRNA from 1 species
ACGGAAGGCAGCAGUGGGGAAUAUUGGACAAUGGGGGAAACCCUGAUCCAGCGCCGCCGCGUGAGUGAAGAAGUAUUUCGGUAUGCAAAGCUCUAUCAGCAGGGAAGAUAAUGACGGUACCUGACUAAGAAGCCCCGGCUAACUACGUGCCAGCAGCCGCGGUAAUACGUAGGGGGCAAGCGUUAUCCGGAUUUACUGGGUGUAAAGGGAGCGUAGACGGCAUGGCAAGUCUGAUGUGAAAACCCGGGGCUCAACCCCGGGACUGCAUUGGAAACUGUCAAGCUAGAGUGCAGGAGAGGUAAGUGGAAUUCCUAGUGUAGCGGUGAAAUGCGUAGAUAUUAGGAGGAACACCAGUGGCGAAGGCGGCUUACUGGACUGUAACUGACGUUGGGGCUCGAAAGCGUGGGGAGCAAACAGGAUUAGAUACCCUGGUA